rnacentral:misc_RNA from 1 species
UACAGAGGGGGCAAGCGUUGUUCGGAAUUACUGGGCGUAAAGGGCGCGUAGGCGGCCGACUAAGUCAGACGUGAAAUCCCCAGGCUCAACCUGGGAACUGCGUCUGAUACUGGCUGGCUCGAAUCCGGGAGGGGGAUGUGGAAUUCCAGGUGUAGCGGUGAAAUGCGUAGAUAUCUGGAGGAACACCGGUGGCGAAGGCGGCAUCCUGGACCGGUAUUGACGCUGAGGCGCGAAAGCCAGGGGAGCAAACGGG